UACGGAGGGGGCUAGCGUUGUUCGGAAUUACUGGGCGUAAAGCGCGCGUAGGCGGACCUGCAAGUCGGGGGGUGAAAGCCCGAGGCUCAACCUCGGAACUGCCUUCGAUACUGCGGGUCUCGAGUCCGGGAGAGGUGAGUGGAAUUCCAGGUGUAGCGGUGAAAUGCGUAGAUAUCUGGAGGAACACCGGUGGCGAAGGCGGCAUCCUGGACCGGCAAGUUGACGCUGAGGCGCGAAAGCCAGGGGAGCAAAGCGGG
rnacentral:rRNA from 1 species